CUAGCUCCUGUCCCAGCUUGAGAUGAAACUCUAUGGAAGAGUAAAGAAGAUCUAUAGCCAGUUGCCUUGGAAUCUCUGCUGAGUACUUCAUCAAGCACCUGCUGUUUGAAGAGGGAAUAAGCCAGAAUAAAAUUCUCGCUCUUCAGCAGCUAAAAUCCGCUAAGAAGGAACCAUCCGUGCUCUGCCUGUGCUGUGCGUCGUGGAGAGUAACCUGACCCCUCUAUCCUCAUGCCAACCUCACACUCUACCUUAAAGAAGUCCAACUCAUAUUUUAUGAUUCGCCGUGCAAAUCAUCUUCUUCAGGAAGCUUUUCCUGAGUCCCUACAAUUAAACUUGGUGCCCGUUUGCCUAGAUAGGACUGUUCUCCAAAUGUCUCAUGCUCCCCUUCAUUUCCUGCACCCAGCACAAUCUGGAAACCUUAUCACUAGUUCCCAAGAAAGGGCUAUGAACAGAAGGGACACCUGCUGAAGCCAAAGCAUCUAUUUUUUGAUGUGAGUGUUGUCCUAAUUGCCUAGGAUAGUUGCCCAGAAUCAGAGUGGACUAGCAUGAGUGAGAGAUCAGUUCCAGUUGCAUAAACCACGGAGACUUUGUUCAUCACUUAAGGAUAAGUGAUGAUCCUAAUACUUGAUCCUAAUAGUGGUACAGUGAUAAAUGAAUAAAUAGCCCUAAGAUACAGGGCACUGAAAUAGUGGCUGGGCCAGGGAUGAAGGAAACUAGUAAGCAAGCUGGGAGAAUGAUAUUUAGCAGUGA
rnacentral:lncRNA from 1 species